rnacentral:rRNA from 1 species
UACGGAGGGGGCGAGCGUUAUUCGGAAUUAUUGGGCGUAAAGGGCGCGUAGGCGGCUUCUUAAGUCAAAGGUGAAAUCCCUCGGCUCAACUGAGGAACUGCCUUUGAAACUGGGGAGCUUGAGUCCGGGAGGGGGUAGCGGAAUUCCCAGUGUAGCGGUGAAAUGCGUAGAUAUUGGGAGGAACACCAGUGGCGAAGGCGGCUACCUGGACCGGAACUGACGCUGAUGCGCGAAAGCGUGGGGAGCAAACAGG